GGUUCGAUCAUGGCUCAGAUUGCCCGGCGGGAUGCUUUGCAUACAUGCAAGUCGAACGGCAGCACGGACUUCGGUCUGGUGGCGAGUGGCGAACGGGUGAGUAAUGUAUCGGAACGUGCCUAGUAGCGGGGAUAACUACGCGAAAGCGUAGCUAAUACCGCAUACGCUCCUUCGGGAAAGCGUGGACCUUCGGGCCUCGCACUAUUAGAGCGGCCGGGAUAUCGGAUUAGCUAGUUGGUGGGGUAAUCACCACCAAGGCGACGAUCCGUAGCUGGUUUGAGAGGACGACCAGCCACAUCAGGACUGAGACACGGCCCAGACUCCUAGCCGGAGGCAGCAGUGGGGAAUUUUGGACAAUGGGGGAAACCCUGAUCCAGCCAUCCCGCGUGCGAUGAAGGCCUCGGGUUGUAAAGCACUUUUGGCAGGAAAGAAACGGCACGGGAUAAUACCCUCGUGCAACUGACGGUACCUGCAGAAUACACCGGCUGAACCUACGUGCCAGCAGCCGCGGUAAUACGUAGGGGUGCAAGCGUUAAUCGGAAUUACUGCUAAAGCGUGCAGGCGGUUCGGAAAGAAAGAUGUGAAAUCCCAGAGCUUAACUUUGGAACUGCAUUUUUAACUACCGAGCUAGAGUGCGGUCAGAGGGAGGUGGAAUUCGGG
rnacentral:misc_RNA from 1 species